rnacentral:rRNA from 1 species
AUUGAACGCUGGCGGCAGGCCUAACACAUGCAAGUCGAGCGGGGACUUCGGUCCUAGCGGCGAACGGGUGAGGAAUGCUUGGGAAUCUGCCCAGUAGCGGGGGAUAACGUUUCGAAAGGAACGCUAAUACCGCAUACGCCCUACGGGGGAAAGGGGGGGACCUUCGGACCUCUCACUAUUGGAUGAGCCCAAGUCGGAUUAGCUAGUUGGUGGGGUAAAGGCCUACCAAGGCGACGAUCCGUAGCUGGUCUGAGAGGAUGAUCAGCCACACUGGAACUGAGACACGGUCCAGACUCCUACGGGAGGCAGCGGUGGGGAAUAUUGGACAAUGGGCGAAAGCCUGAUCCAGCCAUGCCGCGUGUGUGAAGAAGGCCUUCGGGUUGUAAAACACUUUAAGCGAGGAGGAAUGGCUCUUGGUUAAUAACCUUGAGCAGUGACGUUACUCGCAGAAUAAGCACCGGCUAACUCUGUGCCAGCCGCCGCCGUAAAAC